AGCCACAGCCAUAUCACCCUGCAGCCCAAGACCAGUUACUCACUGAAGAUAAGCAGAGCAGAGCCUGGUCAGUACCUGGAUGGGAGACCAUACGGAAGUUGGAAGUGGUGUUAGUU
rnacentral:rRNA from 1 species